rnacentral:lncRNA from 1 species
CAGGGGAUUGCAGUGGCAAAGCUAGGCUAGGUCUUGGAGGCUGGUGUAAGGCGAUGUGGGUGAAGGCAGGAGGCUGAUGGAAAGACUGGGGGGAAGAAAAGCCGAAAUGGAUUCACGGUGCCUUGGAUGAAGGACGAGAGGGGAACUGCAAGCUCCUUCAACUGGUUCUGUCCGGUGAGAAGUGAUCAAGCUUGGGCUGACAAGAGGCUCAGGGAGCCCUCACGUUCUUUCGCUUUUUUACCUGCCAAUCAAACUGCUACAAGACAACACCCUGAUCUGGCAUGGACAUUCAUUGCAGUCACCUGGAGUCACGGAAAUGACCAUGAUUGCCUGAACUUUCAUGACUUCUGUGGAUAACUGUGGUUGCAGAAAAGAGAAAACCUGGACCGUGAGGGACAUUUCACUCCCUGGGCUUUGGUACAUGGCCUCCCUACAGCGUUGGCUCAGCUCUAGCUACUUGGAAGGUCGUGGCAAUGCUGUCUCAGAAUGUCCGUUUCUAGAGUACAGAGAAGAAAUUCUAGCUUGACGUCCACGUGCAUUUGUCUGUGUUUCAGAGGAAAUUCCAAUUCUAAACUCUUGGAAGAAACAAUUUCUCGGCAUGCUGAAGAGAAUUGCUGUUUUUUGGCACCUGAAACACUUUUACCCAAGGGUUCUGAUUAUUUAAAUAAUUGGUAUGCUAUAAAUAUUCUGGUUGACAGAAAUGUGGUUUAAUGUAGAUGAGUUGUAAAAACAUGAGACAAACAUGC